rnacentral:rRNA from 1 species
CAGCCGCCGCGGUAAUACGGAGGGCGCGAGCGUUACCCGGAUUUACUGGGCGUAAAGGGCGUGUAGGCGGCCUGGGGCGUCCCAUGUGAAAGGCCACGGCUCAACCGUGGAGGAGCGUGGGAUACGCUCAGGCUAGAGGGUGGGAGAGGGUGGUGGAAUUCCCGGAGUAGCGGUGAAAUGCGCAGAUACCGGGAGGAACGCCGAUGGCGAAGGCAGCCACCUGGUCCACUUCUGACGCUGAGGCGCGAAAGCGUGGGGAGCAAACCGGAUUAGAGACCCCUGUAGUCCCUGUCUCUUAUAC